rnacentral:rRNA from 1 species
UACGGGGGGGGCAAGCGUUGUUCGGAAUUACUGGGCGUAAAGGGCUCGUAGGCGGCCAACUAAGUCGGAUGUGAAAUCCCCAAGCUUAACUUGGGAACUGCAUCCGAUACUGGAUGGCUUGAAUCCGGGAGAGGGAUGCAGAAUUCCAGGUGUAGCGGUGAAAUGCGUAGAUAUCUGGAGGAAUACCGGUGGCGAAGGCGGCAUCCUGGACCGGCACUGACGCUGAGGAGCGAAAGCCAGGGGAGCAAACGGG